rnacentral:rRNA from 1 species
CGGACGGGUGAGUAACACGUGGAUAACCUACCUAUAAGACUGGGAUAACUUCGGGAAACCGGAGCUAAUACCGGAUAAUAUAUUGAACCGCAUGGUUCAAUAGUGAAAGACGGUUUUGCUGUCACUUAUAGAUGGAUCCGCGCUGCAUUAGCUAGUUGGUAAGGUAACGGCUUACCAAGGCAACGAUGCGUAGCCGACCUGAGAGGGUGAUCGGCCACACUGGAACUGAGAUACGGUCCAGACUCCUACGGGAGGCAGCAGCC